UGUUUAAUUAUGUAGUUUUCCAAAGAAAAAAAAGUCAUUUUGAAAUGCUUGACUCAGAUGGACGACGACUCUAAGCCCAUCUGUGAAAGCUCGUCAAGAUUGGGCCUCCUACCCUGCCCCACAACUAAAGAGUUCCAUCUCUUUUCGUUUGCAGUCCUUAGGUAUCUGGAAGCUUCGAGAUCCUAAUUUAGCUGAUUCCUUGUUCCCCAAGCCAAAGUUUCCAAAGAUUUGCCGUAAGAACCUCGAGGAGAAUAGAAGAUCUAUCUAAAAUGGCUGAGCAGACGAAGCGAGGAAUUGCUGACCAUAUGAAAGAUGCAUCUAAAAUCUUUGAGUCUUUCAAGAACCAGU